AUGGAAAAGAAAGGAAAAGAGAUUUGAUUUCUGUGGCUGAGAACCACUCCAACAGAAGAUUUUGUGAAGAAUGAGGUUGAAGCUAUUAGUACAAGUUAGAAAAAAAAAUCUAGUUCUAAGACCUGCAGAAGAAAGACCUGAACUUCAGAGGGGACCACAAAUGAAUAUGAAUUAAGAACGGGGUUCUCUUUUCAAAAGCCAACACAAAAUGAGGACAUGUUUUAUGUAAAAGCAGCUCUUCUUGCCAGUGGGCUUCCACGUGUCCUUCUUUCAUAUAUCACAGCCAGACCUAGGAAAUUCCCUGGGAAGUGCGCUCCACCACAGUGCCUGCAGUUUCUCCAUUUGACUGGGAUUCUGUUGCACCUUGAGAGAUUUUUUUUUUUUUUUUUGAUGUUUGGGAAGCUGUUACCACAAAAAAGCCCUUCCUGCAGUGAGGAAAUAGCAUGGUACCCAGAAAGACGAAGGGAGUGGACUGGGAAAUGGGAAUCUGGGUCCAUUUCCCUCCUACCAGUACCAUUUCCCUCCUACCAGUACCAUUUCCCUCCUACCAGUACUGUGUGUUUUUCCUGGCCUCAGUGGCUUCAUCUGUAAAAUGGAACAGUGUGGACAUGAAAGUGAAAACAUCUGCCAUUGUGACUAUAAAUGUUUAAGAAACGAGUCCUGCGUACCUGCCUCCUUCAGUUUUCCAUCUGUAAGGUACCACUUAUUGGGUGCUUGCUAUUUGUGGAGCAAAAAGAAUGCUGAAGCAAGAAGGCAGCCUCGAAGGGGUGCUGUUCAGAGCCAAUUUACAAUUAUGAAGGAAGCCAGAUUGAAGAAAAUGCCAAAAAGUACAAAAGGGAAGGCCAAACUGAAAGAAUUUCAGAACAUCAGAGUCUGGGCCAUGAUGCACCCAGGCUUCAUGAUAUAUGAGGUAAUGCUUUUCCUACUUGUUUAUACUUCUUAUAGUCAAGCACAUUGUAAUUCAUGCAGCUCCUUAAGAAAAUGGGAAUCUGUGUGGUGUGGUAGAACUGCUGAGGUGGGUCUUCAUGGGGGGAACCCAGAUUUUAAAUGGUGAAAUGUUUAUAUAAUGCAACUAAAAAUAUUUGCUUCUUAUUGAUUAGCUUUUUUUUUUUUUAACACAAAACAGAGAUGUUCACUGUGACCUCAAGUGGAUUCUUCUCCACCAAUCCAAAAUUUUAUCCCAGGUAUUACAUUUAUCUUAAUUAUAACAUAGUGAUGAUCACUUGAUGAGCUGGUCAUGUAUGAUACAGCUGGUUGUGCUGGUCAUAAAUGAUACAUAACUAUAUGAACCUUAAAAAUCCUCAAAAAUAUGAUGUUGAGUUUAUAAAGCUGUCUAAAUUAUGUUGGAAAAGGGGGACAUUUAGUCCAUAUGACUGAGAAAAAAGAAUUCAUUAUGACAGUUCAGUUCAUUUCAAGAUGGCUGCUCUUAGGAAAAGUAUUUGUUGUCUUUCUAGAAAAAAUGUAAAUAUUCUUCACAGUGUGUCAUAUCUCUGGUGGCUUGAAGAAUUGGAGAGUGAAGGGGUUUAUGCUAUAAAAUGAUUAUUUUCAGCAUUUCUAUCAAAUAGAUUAUAAGGAAGUGAAUUACAUAUGGUCCAAACUGGUUUGAAGCAGAAUAAAUUCAUUCAUAUCUUCA
rnacentral:lncRNA from 1 species